rnacentral:lncRNA from 13 species
AUGGGCCCAGUGAACACAGGCCUGCCUGCUGACAGGAGAGGUUCCGGCCCUGCAGGAACCACCGCACCAACACAGUACACUCACAGAGAGCCGGAGGAACCAGCUCAACAACAUGGUACAGUCCCAGAGAGAGGGAUCAAUUCAUUAACAUACUACCACAACACACAAACAGAGGCGUGCUUUCAGCAGCUCUACAAACACAUAGAGCUGAGUGGAACCUUGUUUUACCAGUUUUCUAUGUCUAGGUCCGUUUGCUUGGUUCACUCUGGGUUUUUAAAUUCGGUUUUACCUUGGAUUUCUCUUCGUUUCUCCCUAUUUCUGAUCACUUACCAUGGACUUAAAAAGAGCUGCUUCAAUGAUACAUUUUUCUCAAAGACAAUACAGGCCAUUACAGUCACCCUGUCUCUGGAGACACACACACAUGCUCAGUAUUCCAGCCAAUGUUCAAGGAUUCUUCAAAGCAUCAGGAGCCAGAGAAAACCACAGAGGCAGUUCACACUGAGGACAUGUUGCAGUUCACACCGAGGACAACUGGGACUCCUUCCUCUGAGCAGAACCUUGGAAGAAGAAACACUGCAGUGA